AUCUGCAGAGUCAAUUGGCAGGUAACUUCGUGCGGACUGUCCAAAGUGUCUAUUCAGCUUCACGGGAAAGAACACUAAAUGAAGCAUAUAAUGGUAUAGAGAGUAUGAUUUAUGCAUUAGGAAUUGAUGGUGGUGAUUCAAUAGCUCGUCCAGCUUUGAGCCUCUAUACAAUAGCAGUUGAGAGGAAUUUCACAAGGGGGCGUAGGAAAGAGCAAGUUGAGGCUGCUUGUGUUUACAUUAUAUGUAGG